GACGAACGCUGGCGGCGUGCUUAACACAUGCAAGUCGAACGGAAAGGCCCUGCUUUUGUGGGGUGCUCGAGUGGCGAACGGGUGAGUAACACGUGAGUAACCUGCCCUUGACUUUGGGAUAACUUCAGGAAACUGGGGCUAAUACCGGAUAGGAGCUCCUGCUGCAUGGUGGGGGUUGGAAAGUUUCGGCGGUUGGGGAUGGACUCGCGGCUUAUCAGCUUGUUGGUGGGGUAGUGGCUUACCAAGGCUUUGACGGGUAGCCGGCCUGAGAGGGUGACCGGCCACAUUGGGACUGAGAUACGGCCCAGACUCCUACGGGAGGCAGCAGUGGGGAAUAUUGCACAAUGGGCGGAAGCCUGAUGCAACAACGCCGCGUGCGGGAUGACGGCCUUCGGGUUGUAAACCGCUUUCGCCUGUGACGAAGCGUGAGUGACAGUAAUGGGUAAAGAAGCACCGGCUAACUACGUG
rnacentral:rRNA from 1 species